rnacentral:rRNA from 1 species
UACGAAGGGGGCUAGCGUUGCUCGGAUUCACUGGGCGUAAAGGGUGCGUAGGCGGUCGGGUAAGUCUGAUGUGAAAUCUCACAGCUUAACUGUGAAACUGCAUUGGAUACUAUCCGGCUAGAGGAAUGGAGGGGAGACUGGAAUACUUGGUGUAGCAGUGAAAUGCGUAGAUAUCAAGUGGAACACCAGUGGCGAAGGCGAGUCUCUGGACAUUUCCUGACGCUGAGGCACGAAAGCCAGGGGAGCAAACGGG